CCCUACACUUCUGCUCAUGCGCAAACUCCUACCCCAAUAUCCGCGCCUUGAACAUGCGCAGAAUCGUCGCUGUUCGCCGCUCUCACUUCUUUUCCUCAGUCUCACUCCUCCGGCCUCCUUUCUUGCGCGUGCGUGCAACUCCUUUGCUCAGCCGCGGACGUGGAGGAACCGUGCGGCUGUGGGCCAGAGGUCCAUCUAUAGACGACUUGUCAGUCGAUAGGUAUUUAUUCUACUGUUCGAGGAAAACAAAUAAGGGUGCAGCUUAGACGAAAAGAAACGUUUUAUUGCCAGUGUCUAAACUCCUAAACAACGGAAUUGUGUAUGGAUACACGUGUACUUAAAACAGCCUGGUGUGUGUGUAGAGCACUUGCUGUAUGUCAACGCUUUACGGGAGUUAUUGCACCUAAGCCUCAGAACAACUUUAUGAGAAGAUUUCCCAGAGGUGGGAAUACCAGUUCCUGUAGGAUGCAGACUUACAAGUGGAUUUUCCAGUAAGAUCUUAUAGCCAGCCUAUUUUUCUUGUUUUUGGCUGAUUUCUAACAGGCAUAUUAAUGUGUAUUAGCUAUUCUAUCCUGCAUGGGAAUCAGGAAAUUGGACAGUGUUGUAGGUACUUAAUGAUAUAGGCAUGCUGAUAGCCACAAAGUGAGAAUUGGUAAGUAAAAGCCCUUUACAAGAAUAAUGAUGGGUAUUUUAAAAACUUGGAAUUAAGUGUAGUUUUCAUGAGCACAAUAAGAAAUGAUUCAUAACCUGAAUAAUAGGAUAUAGUGGUCAAUUCAUAAAUGCAUAUUAUAAUUAAAUUUUAAAAACUCUAUGAAUAACCUACAUUUGUUGACAGUAUCCAAUUUUAGGGGAGGUUUUAGUAAAUCAUGAAUAAUCAUCAAGUUCACAGCUUCUCGAACUUUUUCACAAAAGUGUAGUUCAUACUACAGAAAAGUGAAAAAAGUGCCCUAGAAGCUUGAUCCCAAACUAGGGUUUUCUUUUUCUUUCUUUUUUUAAGAUUUUAUUUAUUUAUUUAUUUGUCAGAGAGAAUGAGCACAGGCAGAGGCAGAGGGAGAAGCAGGCUCCCCGCCGAGCAAGGAGCUGGAUGUGGGACUUGAUCCCAGGACGCUGGGAUCGUGACCUGCGCUGAAGGCAGCUGCCCAACCAACCGAGCUACCCAGGCAUCCCCCAAACUAGGAUUUUCUUAAGUUUCUUGUUUUGUCUGAAAUUUAAUAUAAAUGUUGCAUUAUAUAUAAUAGUUCUAUGUUUAGUAUAAAUACAAUACUUAUAAAUUUUUUCAAAAUCCCUGAGUAAAAUUAAUAUCUAAGAAGAUGCCUUAUGUUUUAUUCAGUAGCUUUUAGCACCCUGGCAUACUAUAAGUUUCCUUUGUCUCAAACUGGACUUUCAGAGCAAUGUUCUAGGCUAUUUGAUGGUUGUACAAUAUGCUCCUUUUCGGUUUUCUCUUUAGCCCAGGCUAUUUAUAGUAGUGUAUGGUAGGGAGUAGAUUAAUUGAUGAUUACUUACUUUGAACCUGAGAGUGUUUCAAAGACUCUGAAAUGAUAAUUUAAUAUCAUUGCCAAUAGACUGCACUACAAAAGAUGUUAAAGAAAGUAAUCCAGAUGGAAGGGAAAUAAUAUUAGAUGGAAAUCCAGAUCUACAUAAAGGAAUGAUGAACACUGGAAAAGGUAAUUCCACAAGAAAAGACAGCAUGUUUCUACAGAGAUCUGUACAUGAAUAUUCAUAGUAGCUUUAUAUUUAACAGUCUCCAAUUUGAAAAAACUCAAAUGUCACCAACAGACAAAUGGAUAAAUUGUGAUAUAUUCAUAUAAUGGAAUACUACUCAGCAAUAAAAAGGAUUGGUUCCUGGAAGUGGAACUACUGUAUCAAAGAUUUGGACAUUUUUAAGACCCCAGAAAGAGAUCACAAGUAGUAGGCAGAGAGGCCGACAGAGAGAGAGGAGGAAGCAGGAUCCCCGUGGAGGAGAGAUCCCGAUGUGGGGCUCGAUUCCAGGACCCUGGGAUCAUGACCUGAGCUGAAGGCACAGGGUUUAACCCACUGAGCCACCCAGGCACCCCUGUGUACUGGUUUUAAAGAAAAAUAAUGCAAUGUGCAUUGUAAACAUGGAAGAAGAGUCAUUUUAAAUUUUGUAUUUUAAUAAUCAAGUGGUAUAUCAUCUAAAAGGCAACACACAAAUUCUUAUAAAAUACCAAAAAUUUCAACCAUUCCUUUUAGAAUCAUUGAGUUUUAUGAAUAAACAAGCCUAAGUCAAGAUCUUGACUUAUACAGCUCUUUUAA